CUUUCCACAGACUUUUCAGGAAAACCGGAUCCCAGGCUGACCUGCUAGCGCCACCUCUGAUAUGAGUAGUUAUUAUUGAAAGAGACAGGAGCAAUUCAGGUGCGCUCCUUCAUCCACGAAUCUUCCAGGCCCCAUAGUAAACCCAUGGGAGGGAUGAGGAACGACACUCCUUUCUACAGAUCGUCGGCUUGGAAAAAAAAUUGACAUGAUGGUGAGAAGAAAGCAGAUAUAAAAUCACGUGCUCACAUGAUCUGACUCUUCAGAUGGGAGCCUGCAUCUGUCAACAACAACAAAAUGCCAGCGAGACUUCCACUGUUUUCCUAUGUUCACUGAACUUCCAGUGAAACAUCUGCUUUGUGAGGUUGGGGAACUUGCCGAAUGCACCUACACCUUCAGCUUCCACCCAGGGUGACUACGACCAGAAUUAUCAAAGUCAUUAUUUUCCCAAGCUGUAAGAUCGCAGGGAUGAAGCAGGGGAGAUGGCUCAGCCCAGAAAAUGCUUGCUGCCAAGACUGAUGACCUAAGUUUAAU